UACGUAGGGGGGCUAGCGUUGUCCGGAAUCAUUGGGCGUAAAGCGCGCGUAGGCGGCCCAGUAAGUCCGUUGUAAAAGUCAAAGGCUCAACCUUUGAAAGCCGAUGGAUACUGCUGGGCUAGAGUCCGGAAGAGGCGAGUGGAAUUCCUGGUGUAGCGGUGGAAUGCGCAGAUAUCAGGAGGAACACCGAUAGCGAAGGCAGGUCUCUGGGCAUUAACUGACGCUGAGGAGCGAAAGCAUGGGGAGCGAACAGG
rnacentral:rRNA from 1 species